rnacentral:misc_RNA from 1 species
GGCCAACUUGAUAUCAGGAAACACAAAAUUUAAUAGUAGUAAAUAAAUUAUUAAUGAUUUUGCAAUUAUCCAUCAAAUUAACUAGCAUAGUGUUUAUUGAAAUUAAAUAUGCAAAUAAAAACCGUAUUGCUUCCAUUGUAAAAAACAUGACAAGACACAUGCUUUGCUUUAUGUGUGAGGCUGUUCGUGAUGGUGAUUGGCGUUGGGAUCAGACAAAAAAAUUAAUUGAUUUGCUUUUUGACUUCUUGUUCAUGCUUUAUGGACAGUAUUGAUUUUUAGUGAUGAGAUAUGGACAAAGAAGUAAUCAUUCCCAGACGCGUGAUGAAAGGAUGUGGGGCCAAAUGAACAGCAUCCUCCUCACGGGUUGCAACUUUGAAUUAAUUAAUAUUCACAACAUUUAACGUGUAUAUAAAUUAACUGGUAAAUUAUUUGAGAGAAGCUUAUUUCGCUCGUAAUCUUUUAUUUUGAUUUAUU